UAUUAUAUAAAAUUGAAAAUAAAUAUUUUACUGCUAUUUAAAUCUAACACAGUCAAGAUGCAGAAACCUCCUUAGAUCACCUUGGCACCUUGAUUAGCUAACAAUCCAAAGCUGAGUUUCCUUCCCUACAAAUGUGUUUAAGAUGUAAUUCACCAAUUUGAGCAUGUCCCAAGUUUCUCAAACUUGGUAUUGCAGAGAUCAUGGUACUGAUGCGGUUGGAUGAGAUCUGAUUUACCAAUGCAUUGGAGCCAAUUUCAUUCUAUUUAUUUCGAAUUCCUGUUUGCAGGCAAAUCUUUAAACCAUGGUCCAUGGGAGAGAACUCUGGGAUUAGCUUCCAUUUUAAAGCAAGUCCCAAAAGAUAACAUGUUAUCAUGAAGGACACCAACCAGGUCGCCACUUGCUCCUCUAUCUGGUUCCCUUUGCUAACACGAACCUUGUUGAGCUUCAUAGAGACUAAUUUUUUAUUUUAUUGUUGAAAUACUUGACUAAGUUCCUAGAGGUGCGUCACUUCAGCAUACUUUUUCAUGCUUUUAAAUAACGUUUAAAACAAAGAGGAAAUGCUGCAAAAACAGGUUUAAAAACAUAGAGGACACGUGUCGAAUCAUGAAUGGACAAUUUGAAAAUUUAAAGGAAAAAAUAUCCAACCAAAUGCUGCAAACUCAGUCUAUCCACAAUUCCAUGUUUUUAACCUGUUCAACCAUCAUUGCUGUAGAACAAAAAUUUCAUAAUAAAUAAUUUGUACUUUUACGGUAAGAUGGUGAUUUUUAAACUGAAGUUAAUUUCAACAUUCGCUUGUAGAAAGAAAUAAGUCCCAAGAAGACAAGAAUCUUAUUUAACUACCAUAGAUUGGUAAUAUCUAAAGAUGAAACAAUCGAGAAUCUUUAAUAAAUACGUGCCUACCAUUCAUGAAGCUAAAUUUUGUUUGUUUAAAAGUUUAUGCAAUUAUUUGCUAUGUAUGUAAACAUGCAAG
rnacentral:lncRNA from 1 species